rnacentral:misc_RNA from 1 species
AACGCAACUUGCGCUCCUUGGUAUUCCAUGGAGCAUGCCUGUUUGAGUGUCACGUAAACCCUCACCCUUGUGAUGUAAAAGUCGCGAUGCGGUGGACUUGGACCGUGCCGUAAUUGGCUCGUCCUGAAAUGCAUUAGCUUGUGCUCGUUAGAGUGCUCGGCAUGGUGUGAUAAUUAUCUGCGCCGUCGCCUUAGGCCUCUUCUGUGUGCGCUGCUUCUAAUCGUCCUCUUUUGGACAACGUAACAUUAAGCUUUGGCCUCAAAUCAGGUAGGACUACCCGCUGAACUUAA